UACGUAGGGGGCUAGCGUUGUCCGGAAUCAUUGGGCGUAAAGAGCGUGUAGGCGGUCCGGUAAGUCCGCUGUGAAAGUCGGGGGCUCAACCCUCGAAUGCCGGUGGAUACUGUCGGGCUAGAGUGCGGAAGAGGCGAGUGGAAUUCCUGGUGUAGCGGUGAAAUGCGCAGAUAUCAGGAGGAACACCUAUUGCGAAGGCAGCUCGCUGGGACGUAACUGACGCUGAGAACGCGAAAGCGUGGGGGAGCAAACAGG
rnacentral:rRNA from 1 species